GAAGGUGUCCGUCUGGUUGUGGGUGUCCUGAAGGUGUCCAUCUGGUUGUGGGUGUCCUGAAGGUGUCCGUCUGGUUGUGGGUGUCCUGAAGGUGUCCGUCUGGUUGUGGGUGUCCUGAAGGUGUCCGUCUGGUUGUGGGUGUCCUGAAGGUGUCCGUCUGGUUGUGGGUGUCCUGAAGGUGUCCGUCUGGUUGUGGGUGUCCUGAAGGUGUCCGUCUGGUUGUGGGUGUCCUGAAGGUGUCCGUCUGGUUGUGGGUGUCCUGAAGGUGUCCGUCUGGUUGUGGGUGUCCUGAAGGUGUCCGUCUGGUUGUGGGUGUCCUGAAGGUGUCCGUCUGGUUGUGGGUGUCCUCAAGGUGUCCGUCUGGUUGUGGGUGUCCUCAAGGUGUCCGUCUGGUUGUGGGUGUCCUCAAGGUGUCCGUCUGGUUGUGGGUGUCCUCAAGGUGUCCGUCUGGUUGUGGGUGUCCUCAAGGUGUCCGUCUGGUUGUGGGUGUCCUCAAGGUGUCCGUCUGGUUGUGGGUGUCCUCAAGGUGUCCGUCUGGUUGUUUGUGUC